rnacentral:rRNA from 1 species
GAGUUUGAUCGUGGCUCAGAUUGAACGCUGGCGGCAGGCCUAACACAUGCAAGUCGAGCGGUAGAGAGAAGCUUGCUUCUCUUGAGAGCGGCGGACGGGUGAGUAAUGCCUAGGAAUCUGCCUGGUAGUGGGGGAUAACGCUCGGAAACGGACGCUAAUACCGCAUACGUCCUACGGGAGAAAGCAGGGGACCUUCGGGCCUUGCGCUAUCAGAUGAGCCUAGGUCGGAUUAGCUAGUUGGUGAGGUAAUGGCUCACCAAGGCGACGAUCCGUAACUGGUCUGAGAGGAUGAUCAGUCACACUGGAACUGAGACACGGUCCAGACUCCUACGGGAGGCAGCAGUGGGGAAUAUUGGACAAUGGGCGAAAGCCUGAUCCAGCCAUGCCGCGUGUGUGAAGAAGGUCUUCGGAUUGUAAAGCACUUUAAGUUGGAGGAAGGGCAGUAAAUUAAUACUUUGCUGUUUUGACGUUACCGACAGAAUAAGCACCGGCUAACUCUGUGCCAGCACG